rnacentral:rRNA from 1 species
GAUAAACGCUGGCGGCGUGCCUAACACAUGCAAGUCGAACGUCCUCCCCCUUUGGGGGGAGGCAGUGGCGGACAGGUGAGUAGCACAUGGGUGACCUGCCUUCCAGUGAGGAAUACCGGCGAGAAAUCGCCGACAAUGCCGCAUACGCUCGCGGGAUCACAGCCGGGAGCAAAGCCCCGCAAGGGGCGCUGGAAGAGGGGCCCGUGGCCGAUUAGCUGGUUGGUGGGGUAAGAGCCUACCAAGGCGACGAUCGGUAGCUGGUCUGAGAGGACGAUCAGCCACACUGGGAUUGAGAACGGCCCAGACUCCUACGGGGGGCAGCAGUGAGGAAUUUUCCGCAAUGGACGCAAGUCUGACGGAGCAACGCCGCGUGCAGGAGGACGGUCUUCGGAUCGUAAACUGCUUUUCCCAGGGACGAGUAAGGACGGUACCUGGGGAACAAGCCCCGGCUAACUACGUGCCAGCAGCCGCGGUAAUACGUAGGGGGCAAGCGUUGUCCGGAGUUACUGGGCGUAAAGCGCCCGCAGGCGGUCGCGUCAGUUCGCGGUGACAGCGCUGAGCUUAACUCAGCGAGGACCGAGAAGACGGCGUGACUUGAGGGCCAGAGAGGGACAUGGAACUCCGGGUGGAGUGGUGAAAUGCGUAGAGAUCCGGAAGAACACCAAAGGCGAAGGCAGUGUCCUGGCUGGCACCUGACGCUCGGGGGCGAAAGCGAGGGGAGCGAACGGGAUUAGAUACCCCGGUAGUCCUCGCCGUAAACGAUGACCACUAGGUGUGGGAGGGAUCGACCCCUUCCGUGCCGGCGUUAACGCACUAAGUGGUCCGCCUGGGGAGUACGGUCGCAAGAUUA